AAAUAUCCAAAUAACUAGUAGAAUACAUUUCUUACACGGUAAGAAACAUGAACUUUUUUCUCUCCAUCUAAACCACAAGGAAAGAAGUAAAAACAUGGAAAAGGACAAGUGAUAAAACGGCGUCUUCUGCUCCACUUGUCUCUACCGCAGUCCACAUACAAAACCGAACCACCGUCGCGAAUCGUGAAGCGGAUCCGACGCCCCGGGCGCCUCCUAAUCACAAAUCCGCUAGAUAACUAUGAGCACGAGUGCACUGUUCCAUUUUCUUGACAACACAAGUGAAGUGCGUACAAUAACGCUCACCAUCAAGGCACCACCCCUGGUUGGCUCUAGUCUCUAGAAUGCGUACAUCACACCAUCUUCUCCAGGCCACAAAAUCCUGUGCCCCCGAAUGUUGUUUCUUUCUCUGGCUUGCCUUGCAACACCGGUGAUUCUCGCUGCAGAAUGCUUGACUGCCGAUCCACCUUUUGGAUAUAAAAGAUUCGGAAAUUAGAAAAAACCUAGCAGAUAUGGAAGUUUUCGUUAAAAACAGUUUUUUAACGACAAUGGACUGGAGACGUAUCAAAAAUGGAGAACAAAUUAACAUGACAAUAAUCUGGUCAUGAUAACUUUUAAUAAAAAUAAACACAGUAAAGUAAAGUCAGCCUCUUCUCGUCAACUUCAAUAAUCCCAAAACAGCACUCUGCUUACUGACUGGAAUAUGAGAGCUUCCAUUAUGUUCAGCGACAACAAGCAACUACCAAAAGGAAGUAAUGUAAGCUGCUGGCAGCAGUGAAAAGAAAGGAAGAUAUAACAUGAUUGCAUUUGUAACUGAGCAGCCCUUUUCAGGAAAGAAGACAAUUGCGCUAGGUAUAUGACUGGAGGCAGAGGACGAAAAAAAUUUAAGGUGUGGCGAAGUCUUAAGGAAAUAAUUCUUUUGAUGCAAAUCAAAAGAGUCAAGACAAAUUACAAACGAAAAACCAAAUACAAUGAAUAUGUAGGCAUGUUUCAAUAGGAAAACAACCUAAAAUAUACCGAUAAUGAAGCUUUCAAUGGCAUGUGCCGAAAUAUUGACACUUUCACGGGUGCUUGGAUUUGAUUUUGAGUUGCUGCCACUACCAAGCACUUCAAAAUACUUCUUCAAAUCUGCAAUCACAACAUUAAUAUAUCACUACAAUCUGCUUGAAUUUAAGGCUUGAAGCUGCUGUUCAAAAUUGCUAUAAAAUUUCAGAACAAAGAGAAAUUACCUCUUCCCCUUUUCUUUGGAUUUGCUAGUCCAUUCCCCUUUCUAUCCAUCUUCUAGUAAUCUGGACAGAACAGCACCGGUUGGGCAUCUUAUUAGCUUGUACGUAUAAUCAUCUAAAAACAAAAACUUGUUCGUACAGUACACAGUUAUAUUCAUAAUUACUGCAGUUGGUUCGGAACUUCAGAUCCUGAAGAAUUGACAGACGAAAAAUCGGCAAUACCUAACAAAGUGGCUGCAACUAGUCUCUGGUUCGGACCCUGAGUAAUUACCAAGGAAUUGCCAGGAAAAUCCCAAUGGAGCUUGCUGCCGCCACUGGAGCCACCGGUUGCUGCCGCCGCUGAAGACGUCGCUUGCUGCCUUAGCUGGAGCCGCGCUGCAGCCACCGCUGGAGCUUGCUGCCGCAGCCCUCUAAGCCCCCAGCCUGCCGCCGUCGUCAGUCGCCCGCCUGGUCCUCGCGACCUGGCCAGCCGCCGCCGCCGCGCUAGCUUAGGGUUGCGUCGCGUCUGGUGAGCGUGCGUGUGUGUCGUUUUUUUUUUUUUUUUGCCUCAUGUUCGUGGGCGCUCGAUCGAAUCGAUCCUGCCCGCGGUCGAUCUCCACGGGGCACCGCUACUGGCCCAACAGCCUGGAUGCGUCAGCCCAUCAGGCUCUGUACCAGCGCUGCAGUCGAACGAGUCCAGAGUUUGCCGAUCGGUAGAUCCGUAGAUGCAUACGUAUUAAAUUUUUUUUUGCCCGAAAUCAAGGUAUGGCGGCUGCCAUACCCUGCCCACCGGAGCCCUCCGCCAGUGGACUGAAGACUGUAUGGAAAGAUUAGGAAGGAAUGCUAAUUGACGUUUCAUUUCUUUUUCUUUUUCAUGAAAGAAGACAAUUGCCCUAGUAUCAGUAUAUUGAAGAAUUCACCUUUUGUUAGCCUUUUCUAACUGGAUCCAGAAAUUUUCUCUUUGUGCAUGUGUAGUCACUUUACACUCUCCUUUAUAAUUAUAACACAUACAAAACUAGAAACUUAAUUGUAACUAUUGUAGUUAAAUUUAAUUAUAAAAUCAGUAUUAGAGAGCUGAAUAAUAAAUUUCUAGAAGGGGUGAUGUUUCUAUUUCUUAUUUCAAUGUGAUCAGCAAACAAAUGCGCAUAAUCCAGUCAAAGGAGAGCACAAUUUGAUGGUCACUUCAUUACAAUCCACACAUCCACACUUGUAGAAGAGCAAAUUCAAUCUUACCAUCUAGCAAACGAAACCUGCAGCGUGAAUCAUCGCCCCAGACUGCAUCCCCGCAACUGCGCGCACCCUCAAGCCCUCAAGCAGUCAAGCAUGCCAGGGAAAAAGCCUGACUUAGAACUGCAAAACUGUG
rnacentral:lncRNA from 1 species